GGAAAGGCAUCUUUGAACACAUGGUUCCUCCUUCACUUCUCACAGAAAUGAGAGGAGCAGCUAUGAGUCUAACUGCAGCAGCGAGUGGAUUAGUUGUCUUCCUGCUCUCUGUGUCAGAGGAAAGGCAUCUUUGAACACAUGGUUCCUCCUUCACUUCUCACAGAGAUGAGAGGAGCAGCUAUGAGUCUAACUGCAGCAGCGAGUGGAUUAGUUGUCUUCCUGCUCUCUGUGUCAGGUACUGUACAUCUACACUUACAUUCAUCACAUGAACAGAGGGGAUUCUGGGAAAUGUGGGACUUGUAAAAUCAGGUCACAUGUGGGAAU